CUACGGGGUGCACCAGUCGCGAAUCUUUUACAAUGCGCGAAAGCGUGAUAGAGCGAACCAAAGUGUAUUUCUUUUUGAAAUGCUUUUGUCUGCUGUAAAUAGGCAGAUGAAUAAGGACUGGGCAAGACUGGUGCCAGCCGCCGCGGUAAUCCCAGCAGUCCAAGUUGCAGCCGGUUUUAUUGGGUCUAAAACAUCCGUAGCUUGUUAUGCAAGUCUCUUGUGAAAUUUUAUCUCUCAAAGAUAAAGCGGGCAAGAGAUACUGUAUAGCUAGAGACCGGUAGGUGUAAGAAGUAUGUUCGAGGUAGUGGUUAAAUACGUUAAUCUUGAGCAGACUAACAAUUAGCGAAGGCAUCUUACAAGGACGGAUCUGACAGUGAGGGAUGAAGGCCAGGGGCGCAAAACGGAUUAGAUACCCGAGUAGUC
rnacentral:rRNA from 1 species